GAUGAACGCUGGCGGCGUGCCUAAUACAUGCAAGUCGAGCGAACGGACGAGAAGCUUGCUUUUCUGAUGUUAGCGGCGGACGGGUGAGUAACACGUGGAUAACCUACCUAUAAGACUGGGAUAACUUCGGGAAACCGGAGCUAAUACCGGAUAAUAUUUUGAACCGCAUGGUUCAAAAGUGAAAGACGGUCUUGCUGUCACUUAUAGAUGGAUCCGCGCUGCAUUAGCUAGUUGGUAAGGUAACGGCUUACCAAGGCAACGAUGCAUAGCCGACCUGAGAGGGUGAUCGGCCACACUGGAACUGAGACACGGUCCAGACUCCUACGGGAGGCAGCAGUAGGGAAUCUUCCGCAAUGGGCGAAAGCCUGACGGAGCAACGCCGCGUGAGUGAUGAAGGUCUUCGGAUCGUAAAACUCUGUUAUUAGGGAAGAACAUAUGUGUAAGUAACUGUGCACAUCUUGACGGUACCUAAUCAGAAAGCCACGGCUAACUACGUGCCAGCAGCCGCGGUAAUACGUAGGUGGCAAGCGUUAUCCGGAAUUAUUGGGCGUAAAGCGCGCGUAGGCGGUUUUUUAAGUCUGAUGUGAAAGCCCACGGCUCAACCGUGGAGGGUCAUUGGAAACUGGAAAACUUGAGUGCAGAAGAGGAAAGUGGAAUUCCAUGUGUAGCGGUGAAAUGCGCAGAGAUGUGGAGGAACACCAGUGGCGAAGGCGACUUUCUGGUCUGUAACUGACGCUGAUGUGCGAAAGCGUGGGGAUCAAACAGGAUUAGAUACCCUGGUAGUCCACGCCGUAAACGAUGAGUGCUAAGUGUUAGGGGGUUUCCGCCCCUUAGUGCUGCAGCUAACGCAUUAAGCACUCCGCCUGGGGAGUACGACCGCAAGGUUGAAACUCAAAGGAAUUGACGGGGGCCCGCACAAGCGGUGGAGCAUGUGGUUUAAUUCGAAGCAACGCGAAGAACCUUACCAAAUCUUGACAUCCUUUGACAACUCUAGAGAUAGAGCCUUCCCCUUCGGGGGACAAAGUGACAGGUGGUGCAUGGUUGUCGUCAGCUCGUGUCGUGAGAUGUUGGGUCAAGUCCCGCAACGAGCGCAACCCUUAAGCUUAGUUGCCAUCAUUAAGUUGGGCACUCUAAGUUGACUGCCGGUGACAAACCGGAGGAAGGUGGGGAUGACGUCAAAUCAUCAUGCCCCUUAUGAUUUGGGCUACACACGUGCUACAAUGGACAAUACAAAGGGCAGCGAAACCGCGAGGUCAAGCAAAUCCCAUAAAGUUGUUCUCAGUUCGGAUUGUAGUCUGCAACUCGACUACAUGAAGCUGGAAUCGCUAGUAAUCGUAGAUCAGCAUGCUACGGUGAAUACGUUCCCGGGUCU
rnacentral:rRNA from 1 species